rfam:Bombyx mori DNA, contig: Bm_scaf8_contig6877, strain: p50T/Dazao, build 2, whole genome shotgun sequence.
GCAUCGGUGGUUCAGUGGUAGAAUACUCGCUUGCCAAGCGGGCGACUCGGGUUCGAUUCCCGGCCGAUGCA